rnacentral:ribozyme from 1 species
UGCCCAGCAACUCCUAUCCCUAUCUCCAUGCGGUACCGGCCGGAAACUAUGAGCAACCUUAGGAAAGAUCGGGUAACCAACCCCGGUGGGAACUUUGGUCGUAGGCUGACAGGGAAGG